rnacentral:rRNA from 1 species
AUUGAACGCUGGCGGCAGGCUUAACACAUGCAAGUCGAGCGGGGGAAGGUAGCUUGCUACCGGACCUAGCGGCGGACGGGUGAGUAAUGCUUAGGAAUCUGCCUAUUAGUGGGGGACAACAUCUCGAAAGGGAUGCUAAUACCGCAUACGUCCUACGGGAGAAAGCAGGGGAUCUUCGGACCUUGCGCUAAUAGAUGAGCCUAAGUCAGAUUAGCUAGUUGGUGGGGUAAAGGCCUACCAAGGCGACGAUCUGUAGCGGGUCUGAGAGGAUGAUCCGCCACACUGGGACUGAGACACGGCCCAGACUCCUACGGGAGGCAGGAGUGGGGAAUAUUGGACAAUGGGGGGAACCCUGAUCCAGCCAUGCCGCGUGUGUGAAGAAGGCCUUAUGGUUGUAAAGCACUUUAAGCGAGGAGGAGGCUACUUUAGUUAAUACCUAGAGAUAGUGGACGUUACUCGCAGAAUAAGCACCGGCUAACUCUGUGCCAGCAGCCGCCGCUG